GCCUGGGUGGCUCAGUCGGUUAAGCGCCUAACUUCGAGUCAGGUCAUGAUCUCAUGGUUUGUGGGUUUGAGCCCCGCAUCGGGCU
rnacentral:tRNA from 1 species